AUUGAACGCUGGCGGCAUGCCUUACACAUGCAAGUCGAACGGCAGCACGGGAGCAAUCCUGGUGGCGAGUGGCGAACGGGUGAGUAAUAUAUCGGAACGUGCCCAGUCGUGGGGAUAACGUAGCGAAAGCUACGCUAAUACCGCAUACGAUCUACGGAUGAAAGCGGGGGAUCGCAAGACCUCGCGCGAUUGGAGCGGCCGAUAUCAGAUUAGGUAGUUGGUGAGGUAAAGGCUCACCAAGCCGACGAUCUGUAGCUGGUCUGAGAGGACGACCAGCCACACUGGGACUGAGACACGGCCCAGACUCCUACGGGAGGCAGCAGUGGGGAAUUUUGGACAAUGGGCGCAAGCCUGAUCCAGCAAUGCCGCGUGC
rnacentral:rRNA from 1 species